GACGAACGCUGGCGGCGUGCUUAACACAUGCAAGUCGAACGGAAAGGCCCUGCUUUUGUGGGGUGCUCGAGUGGCGAACGGGUGAGUAACACGUGAGUAACCUGCCCUUGAUUUUGGGAUAACUUCAGGAAACUGGGGCUAAUACCGGAUAGGAGCUCCUGCUGCAUGGUGGGGGUUGGAAAGUUUCGGCGGUUGGGGAUGGACUCGCGGCUUAUCAGCUUGUUGGUGGGGUAGUGGCUUACCAAGGCUUUGACGGGUAGCCGGCCUGAGAGGGUGACCGGCCACAUUGGGACUGAGAUACGGCCCAGACUCCUACGGGAGGCAGCAGUGGGGAAUAUUGCACAAUGGGCGGAAGCCUGAUGCAGCAACGCCGCGUGCGGGAUGACGGCCUUCGGGUUGUAAACCUCUUUCGCCUGUGACGAAGCGUGAGUGACGGUAAUGGGUAAAGAAGCACCGGCUAACUACGUG
rnacentral:rRNA from 1 species